rnacentral:lncRNA from 1 species
UUGUAGCCAUUGGAGAGACACUCUACCUGAAGCAGCCAUUGCCUUCACUUCAGACGUGGAUUUCCCUUGCUACAAUCUUUGGAGGCAGUGUGAUCUAUGUCCUGACAGAUUACCAAUUCACUGUGAUUGCAUAUAGUUGGGCUUUAGCUUAUCUUACAAGCAUGUCAAUAGAUUUCGUGUACAUUAAGCAUGUCGUCAUGACCAUAGGGCUUAACACAUGGGGCCUGGUGCUCUACAACAACCUGGAAGCACUGAUGCUGUUUCCCCUGGAGCUGCUGAUAAUGGGAGAGCUCAAGAAGAUAAAGCAUGAGAUCUCUGAUGAAUCUGACUGGUACUCAUUCGGCGUGGUUUUGCCUGUGGCUCUGUCAUGCUUGUUUGGUUUAUCCAUAUCCUUUUUUGGGUUCUCUUGCAGACGGGCAAUCUCAGCGACAGGCUUCACGGUGCUUGGAGUCGUGAACAAGCUUCUCACUGUUGUGAUAAAUUUGGUCAUAUGGGAUAAGCAUUCCACCCUGCUGGGAACGAUUGGUC